UUAACUUUUCUUGCCAGAAGAAACAGCUUUCCUAUCCCCAGUAAUGGCAACAUCCCCUCCCCGACCCACACUCCUAUCAGCCUUUCCACCUUUGUCCUAGGAGAUAAACCCUGAGCUGCCUGAGGCAACAGUGAUGGCCUCCUCUGAGGCAGUUUCCAGGCAACAUAAUGUUGAUUCUCCUCAGGAUCCACUCCCAAUACCCCUUUUUACUUCAGACCUAUAAGUAGACUAAAGUCCUGGUGGGCUCCUAGACGUGAGGUUGAGAGUGUGACCUAUGAGGAGGUAUGCUACACUCGUAAAGAACUGCUUUUGUUUUCUAAUUUAUAUAAGC
rnacentral:lncRNA from 1 species